UAGGAGAGAGAAAGGGAGACUUCCUAGUGUAUUAAGUUUCCUAGGAAGUCUCCCUUUCUCUCUCCUU